rnacentral:rRNA from 1 species
UAAGUAUAGCAAUUAUACCGUGGAACUGCGAAUGGCUCAUUAAAUCAGUUAUCGUUUAUUUGAUAGUACCUUACUACUUGGAUACCCGUGGUAAUUCUAGAGCUAAUACAUGCUAAAAACCCCGACUUCGGGAGGGGUGUGUUUAUUAGAUAAAAAACCAACGCCCUUCGGGGCUCCUUGGUGAUUCAUGAUAACCUCUCAGAUCGCACGGCCUUGCGCCGGCGACGGUUCAUUCAAAUUUCUGCCCUAUCAACUUUCGAUGGUAAGGUAUUGGCUUACCAUGGUUUCAACGGGUAACGGGGAAUUAGGGUUCGAUUCCGGAGAGUGAGCCUGAGAAACGGCUCACACAUCCAAGGAAGGCAGCAGGCGCGCAAAUUACCCAAUCCCGACACGGGGAGGUAGUGACAAUAAAUACUGAUACAGGGCUCUUUUGGGUCUUGUAAUUGGAAUGAGUACAAUUUAAACCUCUUAACGAGGAACAAUUGGAGGGCAAGUCUGGUGCCAGCAGCCGCGGUAAUUCCAGCUCCAAUAGCGUAUAUUAAAGUUGUUGCAGUUAAAAAGCUCGUAGUUGAAUCUUUGGCCUGGCUGGCGGGUCCGCCUCACCGCGUGCACUUGUCCGGCCGGGCCUUCUCUUCUGGAGAACCGCAUGCCCUUCACUGGGCGUGUUGGGGACCAGGACUUUUACUUUGAAAAAAUUAGAGUGUUCAAAGCAGGCCUUUGCUCGAAUACGUUAGCAUGGAAUAAUAGAAUAGGACGUGCGGUCCUAUUUUGUUGGUUUCUAGGACCGCCGUAAUGAUUAAUAGGGACAGUCGGGGGCAUCAGUAUUCAAUUGUCAGAGGUGAAAUUCUUGGAUUUAUUGAAGACUAACUACUGCGAAAGCAUUUGCCAAGGAUGUUUUCAUUAAUCAGUGAACGAAAGUUAGGGGAUCGAAGACGAUCAGAUACCGUCGUAGUCUUAACCAUAAACUAUGCCGACUAGGGAUCGGGCGGUGUUAUCGAUUUGACCCGCUCGGCACCUUGCGAGAAAUCAAAGUGUUUGGGUUCUGGGGGG